UAUUUUAUGGGCUCGUUACAAUGC
rnacentral:siRNA from 1 species